ensembl:lncRNA
AUGCCCUCUCUCCAGACCACUACGCCUCUCUCCAGACAACUACGCCCCUCUCCAGACAACUACGCCCCUCUCCCCUACCUCUCCAACUUUCUCCCCACCUCUUCUUCCCUCUCCUCUCCUGUUCCCUCUCCUCUCUUGUUCCCUCCUCUCCUCUCUUGUUCCCUCCUCUCCUCUCCUGUUCCCUCCUCUCCUCUCCUGUUCCCUCCUCUCCUCUCCUCUCCUGUUCCCUCCUCUCCUCUCUUGUUCCCUCCUCUCCUCUCUUGUUCCCUCCUCUCCUCUCCUGUUCCCUCCUCUCCUCUCUUGUUCCCUCCUCUCCUCUCUUGUUCCCUCCUCUCCUCUCUUGUUCCCUCCUCUCCUCUCUUUCCCUCCUCUCUUGUUCCGUUCCCUCCUCUCCUCUCCUGUUCCCUCCUCUCCUCUCUUGUUCCCUCCUCUCCUCUCUUGUUCCCUCCUCUCCUCUCCUGUUCCCUCCUCUCCUCUCUUGUUCCCUCCUCUCCUCUCUUGUUCCCUCCUCUCUUGUUCCGUUCCCUCCUCUCCUCUCUUGUUCCCUCCUCUCCUCUCCUGUCCUCCUCUCCUCUCUUGUUCCAUCCUCUUCCUCUCUUGUUCCCUUCUCUCCUCUCUUGUUCCCUCCUCUCCUCUCUUGUUCCCUCCUCUCCUCUCUUGUUCCCUCCUCUCCUCUCUUGUUCCCUCCCCUCCUCUCCUCUCUUGUUCCCUCCCCUCCUCUCCUCUCUUGUUCCCUCCCCUCCUCUCCUCUCUUGUUCCCUCCCCUCCUCUCCUCUCUUGUUCUCUCCCCUCCUCUCCUCUCUUGUUCCCUCCCCUCCUCUCCUCUCAUGUUCCCUCCCCUCCUCUCCUCUCAUGUUCCCUCCCCUCCUCUCCUCUCUUGUUCCCUCCCCUCCUCUCAUGUUCCCUCCUCUCCUCUCUUGUUCCCUCCUCUCCUCUCUUGUUCCCUCCUCUCCUCUCUUGUUCCCUCCUCUCCUCUCUUGUUCCCUCCUCUCCUCUCUUGUUCCCUCCUCUCCUCUCUUGUUCCCUCCUCUCCUCUCUUUUUCCCUCCUCUCCUCUCUUGUUCCCUCCUCUCCUCUCCUGUUCCCUCCUCUCCUCUCUUGUUCCCUCCUCUCCCCUCUUGUUCCCUCCUCUCCCCUCUUGUUCCCUUCUCUCCUCUCCCGUUCCCUCCUCUCCUCUCUUGUUCCCUCCUCUCCUCUCUUGUUCUCUCCUCUCUUGUUCUCUCCUCUCUUGUUCUCUCCUCUCUUGUUCUCUCCUCUCUUGUUCCCUCCUCUCUUGUUCCCUCCUCUCUUGUUCCCUCCUCUCCUCUCAUGUUCCCUCCUCUCCUCUCUUGUUCCCUCCUCUCCUCUCUCUGUUCCCUCCUCUCCUCUCUUGUUCCCUCCUCUCCUCUCUUGUUCCCUCCUCUCCUCUCUUGUUCCCCUCCUCUCCUCUCUUGUUCCUCCCUCUCCUCUCCUCUCUUGUUCCCUCCUCUCCGCUCUUGUUCCCUCCUCUCCUCUCUUGUCCCUCCUCUCCUCUCUUGUUCCCUCCUCUCCUCUCUUGUUCCCUCCUCUCCUCUCUGUUCCCUCCUCUCCUCUCUUGUUCCCUCCUCUCCUCUCUUGUUCCCUUCCUCUCCUCUCUGUUCCCCUCUCCUCUCUUGUUCCUCCUUCCUUCCCUCCUCUCCUCUCUUGUUCCCUCCUCUCCUCUCCUGUUCCCUCCUCUCCUCUCUUGUUCCCUCCUCUCCCCUCUUGUUCCCUUCUCUCCUCUCCCGUUCCCUCCUCUCCUCUCUUGUUCUCUCCUCUCUUGUUCUCUCCUCUCUUGUUCUCUCCUCUCUUGUUCUCUCCUCUCUUGUUCCCUCCUCUCCUCUCUUGUUCCCUCCUCUCCUCUCUUGUUCCCUCCUCUCCUCUCUUGUUCCCUCCUCUCCUCUCUUGUUCCCUCCUCUCCUCUCUUGUUCCCUCCUCUCCCCCUCUCGUUCCCCUCCCUCUCCCUCUCCUGUUCCCUCCUCUCUCUCUUGUUCCCCUCCUCUCCCCUCUUGUUCCCUUCUCUCCUCUCCCGUUCCCUCCUCUCCUCUCUUGUUCCCUCCUCUCUCUCUCUUUGUUCCCCUCUCCUCUCUUGUUCUCUCCUCUCUGUUCUCUUCCUCUCUUGUUCUCUCCUCUUGUUCUCUCCUCUCUUGUUCUCUCCUCUCUUGUUCUCUCCUCUCUUGUUCUCUCCUUCUUGUUCUCUCCUCUCUUGUUCUCUCCUCUCUUGUUCUCUCCUCUCUUGUUCUCUCCUCUCUUGUCUCUCCUCUUCUUGUUCCCUCCUCUCUUGUUCCCUCCUCUCUUGUUCCCUCCUCUCUUGUUCCCUCCUCUUCUUGUUCCCUCUCUCUUGUUCCUCUCUCUUGUUCCCCUCUUGUUCCCUCCUCUCCUCUCUUGUUUCCUCCUCUCCUCUCUUGUUUCCUCCUCUCCUCUCUUGUUUCCUCCUCUCCUCUCGUUUCCUCCUCUCCUCUCUUGUUCCCUCCUCUCCUCUCUUGUUCCCUCCUCUCCUCUCUUGUUCCCUCCUCUCCUCUCUUGUUCCCUCCUCUCCUCUCUUGUUCCCUCCUCUCCUUCCUCUCUUUGUUCCGUUCCCUCCUCUCCCGUUCCCUCCUCCUGUUCCCUCCUCUCCUCUCCCGUUCCCUCCUCUCCCGUUCCCUCCUCCUGUUCCCUCCUCCUGUUCCCUCCUCUCCUCUCCCGUUCCCUCCUCUCCCGUUCCCUCCUCCUGUUCCCUUCCAUCCUCUCUAGCUCUUUAUUCUUUCUGCUCUUUGUUUUAUUGGGUCAUUUUCCAUUCCUCCUCUCCUCGGAAUUCCCAUUCAUCUUCCCUCUGUCCAGUCCAACUCACCCCAGCUGGAGAAGACAUCACGCCAUUGCAGCCUGA